rnacentral:rRNA from 1 species
CAGCCGCCGCGGGAAUACGGAGGGUGCAAGCGUUAUCCGGAUUUAUUGGGUUUAAAGGGUCCGUAGGCGGAUCUGUAAGUCAGUGGUGAAAUCUCACAGCUUAACUGUGAAACUGCCAUUGAUACUGCAGGUCUUGAGUAAAUUUGAAGUGGCUGGAAUAAGUAGUGUAGCGGUGAAAUGCAUAGAUAUUACUUAGAACACCAAUUGCGAAGGCAGGUCACUAAGAUUUAACUGACGCUAAUGGACGAAAGCGUGGGGAGCGAACAGGAUUAGAGACCCCGGUAGUCCCUGUCUCUUAUAC